UGGGCACAACGCGUGGGCAGGGACGCUGGCUCAGGCAUCACUCGGGCGUCGCUAUAGAUACUGGUUGCCAUGGGCAACUGCUUCAAAGCAUCCCAGGCAUCGCUGUGUGCAUGAGAUUGAAGGCGAUCAAGCCGCAGUCUCUGAGAAAUGGGCAGAGGGGCAUGGCUGGGAGAUCAAGGGGGCUCAGGGGCCGACGUGGGCCAAGGGAAGGGCUAAACUUUGGGGACCGUCUCCAGCCUGUGUCAUCCAGGAGAUCAGACUGGACGAGCACAGUGGUUCCUUCUGGCCUUGGAAUCCGUGAAUCUAUGAACCAAACCCGUCCCGCGUUGAGCAGCCGGCGGCAUCUCCAUACAGCACUCUGCGGCUUGGGCAGCCCAUCCCCGCUGCUCAGCAUCCCAGUGGGCAUCGCUGCCAAUGCAGAGCCCCUGGCUGGGGUGGCGAGGGACUGUGCCGCACAUGGAGUUCUGCGCACCGGCGAUCAUUGAUGCAGCUGUUGAAGAGCAUUGGGCCUACCGCGGAUUCCUGCUGAACCCCCUCCACUCUGUCAUUACCCAGUUCUUAAGCCAUUGAACUGUUGCCCGAUUUAUAGUGUAUAGGGCUCAUUUCGUAAUCAGAAUGUGGUGCUGUACUAAGUCAAACACCUUAAAAAAGUCCGUCUAUUACAUCUACCCCAUUACCCGGCAUAGCCAAACCAGCACGCUCCUCAAAAGAUGAAAUCAGGCCUGGUAAGUAGCCAGUGACGACCCUCCGGGCCCGUCGUUCCUCACCAUGGCAGAGGACGUCCUCAGUACCACCCUGUCCGUGCCGGGAGUUGCCCUGCCUGUGCCAGGAGUUGCCCUGCCCAUUCCGACCCCGUCCCUGACCUUGGAGCAAAAGGCAGCCUUUGUCUUCGUCUUCUUCCUCUUCAUCUUCCUGGGCCUUUUGAUUGUCCGCUGCUUCCGGAUCCUGCUGGACCCGUACCGGAGCACGUCCUCCUCCACCUGGACGGACUACAUGGAGAAAGACGCGUCCGAUUACCGCCUCCCCUGAGCAUGGGCCUGGGGCUGCAGGGGGCUCUUAGCAAGGGGAGAGGAGGGAUUCCCAUGACCCAGGCAGCCCGGCCUGCAGAGCUUGCCAGGACUCUCGCUUUCAAGGCAACAAGCUACCUGCACAUAGGAACACACCCUGGUGGUGGUUGCCCUGAGGUCAGAGCAAGCCCUUAGGCAUGUGCCACUGGCUGGAAGGAUGCGACCGCAGGCACUGACCAGCGGCCCUCUGACUGCUCAUGCAACCGCCGGUCAAGUCCCACUAGGGAAAAAGGGGAGCUUUGUCCUUCGGUCAGGACAACAGAUGGUGCCUGAACUCUAGCCCUCGGCCGGGUUACACAGGACAUGAUGCUCUCCUCGGCUUCUCCUUCCCAUCUGAGGUGGAGUGACAGACGCAGUCUGUACACCUGUAGAGUCUCGCUGGCCCAUGCAAGGUUAGGGAGGGACCUGAGAACGGCCAACACUCCUGCAUUUAUCAGGGGAUAAAAUCUGGAUGGGGGAGUUGGGCAGUUAGCAAGAAGUCACAGUCAUCCCACAAGGACAUGAGGAGUCAGCCGGUGGUGUUGAACCUAAUCCAAUUAAGUCACAUUCUACCCUAGAACCUGUCUUUGUGCAAGAAUCACACGGAUGCAGAUGAUAAAAUGGGAUAGGAAUCAACCAGUCAAACCAGACAGCGGUUUCCACAUUUGAUUACCCUGGUACCUACUGAGGUCAUCAAGGUCUAGAGAUCUAGGGACUUACAUCUCAUCAUGAGUCUCUGAGCAACUCUGAUAAUAGCUCCCUUCACUAAUGAGCAACACUCGUCUUCACACUGUAACUUGACGAUUAACUCCCAGGUGGUCCAACAAGUACUAUCAAAGGCAACAACUUUUGGAUGUAUGCUGCACAGGCAGGAGCAGACGUGGCUUGGUUUUCCUCUUCCUAGCCACGUUUUUCACUCUUGCGUGGUCACCUUUGCUCUUCCGACUAUUCAGGG